AGAGUUUGAUCCUGGCUCAGGAUGAACGCUGGCGGCGUGCUUAACACAUGCAAGUCGAACGAACCUUCGGGUUAGUGGCGCACGGGUGAGUAACGCGUGGGAACCUACCAUUCUGUACGGAAUAACGUCUGGAAACGGACGCUAAUACCGUAUACGCCCUGUGGGGGAAAGGUCCGCCGCAGAAUGAGGGGCCCGCGUCCGAUUAGCUUGUUGGUGAGGUAAUGGCUUACCAAGGCGACGAUCAGUAGCUGGUCUGAGAGGAUGAUCAGCCACACUGGGACUGAGACACGGCCCAGACUCCUACGGGAGGCAGCAGUGGGGAAUUUUCCGCAAUGGGCGAAAGCCUGACGGAGCAACGCCGCGUGAGGGAUGAAGGCCUCUGGGCUGUAAACCUCUUUUAUCAAGGAAGAAGAUCUGACGGUACUUGAUGAAUAAGCCACGGCUAAUUCCGUGCCAGCAGCCGCGGUAAUACGGGAGUGGCAAGCGUUAUCCGGAAUUAUUGGGCGUAAAGCGUCCGCAGGCGGCCCUUCAAGUCUGCUGUUAAAAAGUGGAGCUUAACUCCAUCAUGGCAGUGGAAACUGUUGGGCUUGAGUGUGGUAGGGGCAGAGGGAAUUCCCGGUGUAGCGGUGAAAUGCGUAGAUAUCGGGAAGAACACCAGUGGCGAAGGCGCUCUGCUGGGCCAUCACUGACGCUCAUGGACGAAAGCCAGGGGAGCGAAAGGGAUUAGAUACCCCUGUAGUCCUGGCCGUAAACGAUGAACACUAGGUGUCGGGGGAAUCGACCCCCUCGGUGUCGUAGCCAACGCGUUAAGUGUUCCGCCUGGGGAGUACGCACGCAAGUGUGAAACUCAAAGGAAUUGACGGGGGCCCGCACAAGCGGUGGAGUAUGUGGUUUAAUUCGAUGCAACGCGAAGAACCUUACCAGGGUUUGACAUCCUGCGAAUCUCUUGGAAACGAGAGAGUGCCUUCGGGAACGCAGUGACAGGUGGUGCAUGGCUGUCGUCAGCUCGUG
rnacentral:rRNA from 1 species